CUCCUUCAGAUUUUUCUGCCGCCACCGUGGGGAUCGAGUUUAUCCUGCGCGGUGUGCUCAUCUCCAUCGUCUCCCAUCGCUAUCCCUCUCCUUGGAUAUUUCUCGCGAUGCUUAUCUCCUCCCCGCGCGCAGCUUUUUCCAGCUCAGUUCCUUGCCGCGCCGCCGCCAAGUUCCCUGCCCGCUCCUCCUUCAGCUCCCAGCCGUCGAAGCUCUCUGCGCGCAGGGGCUUCCCAGCCAUGGCAGCGCCCGCCUCCCUGCUCCCAACGUCGUGCCCAGCUGCCUCUCUCUCUCCCUCAGCGCGCCUCCCCUGCAUCGCGCGCUCCCUGCUCCAAGCUUGCCGUCAAAGCUCCCCUGUCGCGCCCUUGGCUCGGCUCUGCGCGCCGCGCGCUGCUUUCCGAGCUCGCCCAAAUCAGACAGUGCCUUCUCUGCUCCUCCCCGUCUCCUUCCUCUACCUCCAGCUGCUUUCCCAUGGCCGGCGUAUGGCUUCGCGGUCGCCCAAUCUCCCUACUCGGUUCCUGCCGGUGCUCAGCUCCUGUUUGACCCGCUGCGCGGUUCUUCCCCACGACAUCGUUUUCCCUGCGUUCGCUCGGCCCUGAAGUUCCCUGGCGCUCGCCCAGCUCAGAUUUCGUUGCGCACUCCUUAGUUCGACACCUGAUGCUUCUCCAUGGAUGGCCGAUGCUGCUCCAUCGGUUCGCGCUCGUCGCGCACAUGGCCGGAGCUCUUCCCUGCGUCGUGUGCGUUCCGUCAUCCUUGCUGUGACUUCGCGUCGUGAAGUUUCCCUGCACGCGUCGAGCUCCCGCGCCGAAUCCAGCCCCAUGUUGAUGCGUCUCUAUUCCAACUUGUCAGCCACGGCCUCGCCUUGGUCUAUGCUGCAGCCCACCGUCAAAAUCGUCGGAGUCGCUCAACUCGCCAAUCGCAUCUUGGCCGGUCGUCGAUUUCUUUUUCGCCAUAGUACAACACCGUUGUUGUUAGAUCCGGUCUCCAACCCGCCAUGGCGCUUGCCGGACUUUGCCGGUGAAGUUUGUCGUCGUCCUCUGGUCCCAGCCCGACCCAUCCGUGCACUCGCUCCUCAUCCAUCGAGCUUCGCGCGUGCUCUUGUUUGUGGUCGAGCUGCUGAACUCGUCCUUCCUUGUUCCUGACUUCAUCGUCGCCAGAGUCCUCACUGGAUUUGUGUCCUCGUCAGCUAGCUCCAAGCCCGAUCUCGUCGUCGUUCUGUACGUCAUCAAGAAAUCCCAAGAAUCAGGUGAAGACGAAGCUAGCCGGGUGAUAUUCACCAAGUGCUCGACAAAAGCUCGAACAAGUCGUCGAUCACCAUCCUCAUCUACGUCAAGCCCCAAGCCGUGAAGACACUCUUAUGCUGGCCACGCGUCACCAGCUCGAUAAAAAGGAAUCCCAUGGGUAUCUGGUCAAGAAUAGAAACUGUGUGCCUCGCUCAUCAGACGUGUGUGAUCAAUGACGUCAACCGGAAACCGUCAUCGUGCUUCCGACUAUCGCGUCGAAUUAGUCAGGGUAAGCAAAUUUGUUAUUCGUGCUAGUGGAUUGAUGAAUGGUUUGACUAGGUAUAAUAUUUAUUAGAUUGUCUGAGUCGCUUUGGUAAUUUGAUCGAUGUCGUAGGAUGAAAGAGGUCGCAAUAGGUCCUAGUGCUUGCGGGAUUGCAGGUGUUAAAAAUGUGAUGUUUUAUUAAUAUAUAUGUGAUACACAGGUUAACCGGGAAAUUAGUAGCGAGAAGAAUUAAAUCGGUGCUUUGUAUCUGAUGCGUGGUCGAAGUAACGUUACGGAAAGUAGGUC
rnacentral:misc_RNA from 1 species